UAAUGCCGGAUGUGCCGGGCUCCUGCAUGGGGGUCCGGGAAAGCUCUGGCGGCGUGGGAUGGGGUCGCGUCCUAUCAGCUUGUUGGCGGGGUGAGGGCCCACCAAGGCUUCGACGGGUAGCCGGCCUGAGAGGGCGACCGGCCACAUUGGGACUGAGAUACGGCCCAGACUCCUACGGGAGGCAGCAGUGGGGAAUAUUGCACAAUGGGCGCAAGCCUGAUGCAGCGACGCCGCGUGCGGGAUGGAGGCCUUCGGGUUGUAAACCGCUUUUGUUUGGGAGCAAGCCCUUCGGGGUGAGUGUACCUUUCGAAUAAGCACCGGCUAACUACGUGCCAGCAGCCGCGGUAAUACGUAGGGUGCGGGCGUUAUCCGGAAUUAUUGGGCGUAAAGGGCUCGUAGGCGGUUCGUCGCGUCCGGUGUGAAAGUCCAUCGCUUAGCGGUGGAUCCGCGUCGGGUACGGGCGGGCUGGAGUGCGGUAGGGGAGACUGGAAUUCCCGGUGUAACGGUGGAAUG
rnacentral:rRNA from 1 species